UGGGGAAUAUUGGACAAUGGGCGAAAGCCUGAUCCAGCCAUGCCGCGUGUGUGAAGAAGGUCUUCGGAUUGUAAAGCACUUUAAGUUGGGAGGAAGGGCAGUAAGCGAAUACCUUGCUGUUUUGACGUUACCGACAGAAUAAGCACCGGCUAACUCUGUGCCAGCGGCCGCGGUAAUACAGAGGGUGCAAGCGUUAAUCGGAAUUACUGGGCGUAAAGCGCGCGUAGGUGGUUCGUUAAGUUGAAUGUGAAAGCCCCGGGCUCAACCUGGGAACUGCAUCCAAAACUGGCGAGCUAGAGUAGGGCAGAGGGUGGUGGAAUUUCCUGUGUAGCGGUGAAAUGCGUAGAUAUAGGAAGGAACACCAGUGGCGAAGGCGACCACCUGGGCUCAUACUGACACUGAGGUGCGAAAGCGUGGGGAGCAAACAGG
rnacentral:rRNA from 1 species